CAGAGCUCUAAGUUUGGAGGCCCUUUCCUCCAACUGAGCCUCUAAUGUCUUCAACUUAUGCUCAAGUUGUUCUUCCUGGACCAUCUGAGGUUCCUCCUGGACAGUCUGUUGUUCUUCCUGGACUGUCUGUUUUUCCUCCUUGUCCACUGGAUGUUCUUCUUGGAUCGUCUCAGGGUCUUCUUCAACCAUCUCAUGUCUUGGUUUGACUGUCUCUGUAGUGGGACUGAUUGGUUCCCUCGUUUGAAGCUGUUCUCUGAGGUCCUCCACCUCCUUCUGCAGCGCCUGACUAAUGUCCUCCUGAGCUCUAAGUUUGGAGGCACUUUCCUCCAACUGAGCCUCUAAUGUCUUCCACUUCUGCUCAUGUUGGACUUUGAUGGUGUCCACGAGAUUCAAGGAUCUGGAGCAAUGAACCAGGUGCAGGUACAUUCCAUCAUACAUCUUCUUCUUUAGAUUUUUAAUCUUUAAGCCACGUCCUUUUGUAUCUCUAGCCGAAAAUAUCAGGAUCCUAUUCAGUACAUCGAGUUCAGCAUCAUAUCUCCUGAUGUAUUCUUCAGUCUGUUUUCGCCAUUUCUGCUCCCAGGGUUGGCUCUCCCUUCUAUUAGUCUUAACCUUGCGCAGCUUCUUCACCUUGCGCUGCUUCUUCACCUUGCGCUGUUUAUGGUAUUCAUCCUCUUCCAUCAUAACUCGGGCAGAUGGGAGGAGGUUUCCCUCAGUUGCAGUCACGUACUCCUCCUUACUAGUAAAGGAACAUACACUGACCACAGAAUUAAAUUGCCCUCCGUUCUUUAGGAUUUCCCCAGAAUCUUUCAAUGGGUGCUUUACAUAGCUCUUGAGCUUUGUCUGUUUUUCCUCCUUGUCCACUGGAUGUUCUUCUUGGAUCGUCUCAGGGUCUUCCUCAACUAUCUCAUGUCUUGGUUUGACUGUCUCUGUAGUGGGACUGAUUGGUUCCCUCCUUUGAAGCUGUUCUCUGAGGUCCUCCACCUCCUUCUGCAGCGCCUGACUAUUGUCCUCCUGAGCUCUAAGUUUGGAGGCACUUUCCUCCAACUGAGCCUCUAAUGUCUUCAACUCAUCCUCAUCUUCCGACAAGGUGUCCACAAGGUCCAGGGAUAUGGAGGCAUGACGCAGGUGGUGGUUACCUGCUUCAUUCAGCUGGUUCUUUAGAUCUUGAAUUAUUAUGUCAUCUUUUUUUAAAUUUCUCAAUGAAAGUGGAACUGAAUGUAUCGGGGUGUUAUUCAGUUCUUCGAGCUCUGCCUCAGAUAUCCUGAUGUAAUCUUUAGUCUGUUUUCUCCAUCUCUGCUCCCAGAGCGGCCUCUUCCUUCUAUUAGUCUCAACAGGCUGCUUCUUCACCUUGCGCUGUUUAUCAUAUUCCUCCUCUUUCAUCAUAACUCGGGCAGAUGGGAGGAGGUUUCGCUCAGUUGUAGUCGGGUACUGGAGCUGAUUAGAGCCCCCAACUUCUGGUACGGACUCCUUCUCCUUUCUAGUAAAGUAACAUAUUUCGACCAUCGAAUUAAAUUUCACUUUCUUCUUUGGGAUUCCCUCAGAAUCUUUCCAUGGGCUCUUUAAACAGCUCUUGAGCUUUGGUGCUGUUAGUUUAGUCCACAUUUUUGAAAAAGUCGUUGCUAAUGCUGAUGACAUUGUUAGGUUUAAAAGAAUUAAAAGCGAUUCGCAAAGUCUUUUUCCACACGGUUGUGUCUCAGGUCUGGAUCUGUGAGCUGCUUGUUGGCUUUUGUGGUUUACAGCCUACCCUGACUCAACACUCUAAACUACUUUGUGAUGUCAUAGUCAAAAAGAAAAAUUGCCAGUGAUCUUUCAUCACAUUCAGUUUCUGUGUUGCCAUGGUAAUUUCAUCAAAGAGAACAGUGGUCAGUGGUGUUGUCUGUUGUUGGAGAGCUACAUGUGUCUGCUUUGCAAUCCAGCUGUUCAGCUUUAACAUGGCCGUUACCGAGGAGCAGGAGGAGAACACAGUUGUAAAAACGUUUUUGUUCUCAAUGCUUUUAUUUUGAAACACAGGCUUUUAUUUUGAAACACAGGUUUUUAUUUUGGUGAGUCCAGUUUGAGUUUUUUCUACUGAUCAGCAUGGUAGCCAUUUUGAACACAUUUCCAGAGGAUCACGCAAUCCAGUUCCAUCCUGCUUUCGUUUAACACCUUGGGAAUUGCCAAUGGAUGUGGCACCUUCAGGCAUCUGGAAAUUGUACCCCGGGCGGAACCAGAGUUGUGGAGGUCGACAAUUCUCUUCCUGAUAUCUUGGCUGAUUUCUUUUGAUUUUCCCAUGAUGUCUCACGAGGAAGCAGUGUGUUUGAGUUGUGCCAAUAAAAUACAUCCACAAGUGUGCCUCCAGUUAACUCAAUUGUUGUCAAUAAACCUAUCAAAUGCUUCCAAAG